AUUGAACGCUGGCGGCAGGCCUAACACAUGCAAGUCGAGCGAGCGGCGGACGGGUGAGUAAUGUCUGGGAAACUGCCUGAUGGAGGGGGAUAACUUCUGGAAACGGUAGCUAAUACCGCAUAUCCUCAGAUUUGCCCAGAUGUGAUUAGCUCGUAGGUUGGGUAACGGCUCACCUAGGCGACGAUCCCUAGCUGAUCUGAGAGGAUGACCAGCCACACUGGAACUGAGACACGGUCCAGACUCCUACGGGAGGCAGCAGUGGGGAAUAUUGCACAAUGGGCGAAAGCCUGAUGCAGCCAUGCCGCGUGUGUGAAGAAGGCCUUCGGGUUGUAAAGCACUGUCAGCGGGGAGGCGGUACCCGCAGAAGAAGCACCGGCUAACUCCGUGCCAGCAGCCGCGGUAAUAC
rnacentral:rRNA from 1 species